CAGUAGCCGCGGUAAUACGAAGGGUGCAAGCGUUAAUCGGAAUUACUGGGCGUAAAGCGUGCGUAGGCGGUGAGUUAAGUCUGCUGUGAAAUCCCCGGGCUCAACCUGGGAAUGGCAGUGGAUACUGGCAAGCUAGAGUGUGUCAGAGGAUGGUGGAAUUCCCGGUGUAGCGGUGAAAUGCGUAGAGAUCGGGAGGAACAUCAGUGGCGAAGGCGGCCAUCUGGGACAACACUGACGCUGAGGCACGAAAGCGUGGGGAGCAAACAGGAUUAGAUACCCCGGUAGUCCCUGUCUCUUAUAC
rnacentral:rRNA from 1 species